rnacentral:rRNA from 1 species
ACGGGGCGCAGCAGGCGCGAAACCUCUGCAAUAGGCGAAAGCCUGACAGGGUUACUCUGAGUGACUUUCGCUAAGAAAGUCUUUUGACACCUCUAAAAAUGGUGUAGAAUAAGGGGUGGGCAAGUCUGGUGUCAGCCGCCGCGGUAAUACCAGCACCCCGAGUGGUCGGGACGAUUAUUGGGCCUAAAGCAUCCGUAGCCGGUUUUACAAGUCCUCCGUUAAAUCCAGCUGCUUAACAGAUGGGCUGCGGAGGAUACUAUAAGACUAGGAGGCAGGAGAGGCAAGCGGUACCCAGUGGGUAGGGGUAAAAUCCGUUGAUCCAUUGAAGACCACCAGUGGCGAAGGCGGCUUGCCAGAAUGCGCUCGACGGUGAGGGAUGAAAGCUGGGGGAGCAAACCGGAUUAGAUACCCGGGUAGUCCCAGCUGUAAACGAUGCAGACUCGGUGAUGGACUAGCUUUAUGCUAGUCCAGUGCCGCAGGGAAGCCGUUAAGUCUGCCGCCUGGGUAGUACGGUCGCAAGACUGAAACUCAAAGGAAUUGACGGA